ACCAACUUAGUUUAAAAAAAACACUGAUUUGUGAAAUCAGAAACAAAGCAAUUUCUAAUCUUUAGUUAGUC
rnacentral:tRNA from 1 species